ensembl:lncRNA
GCCCGCGCCCGCGCCUUAACUCUCGGCGCGCCGGGGCCGGGGCCGGGGGUCCGCGUGCGCACCCCCGAGGGCCGACCCGGGCUGGGGCUCCGGCGCCGGGCGCGGGCUCCAGACCUCGCCGAGACCCGGCUCGGGACCGGCCAAGGCCAGGGAGCCGCUCAGCUGCGUUCGCCUUCUGAAUUCUCCAGCUUGGAGGGAAGCAGACAGGGAGGGGGGCCACUUGCCAGAAUUCACAAAGUUUGUUGAGUGCCACGGAUUGAAAGAAGGGAGAGGUGGGCCCUGCCCUGAAGGUGCCCAGAUCUUCUCUGGACUGAAGGAGCUUCAAAACCCUUUCUGCUUCUGAUCAUGUAGGAAAAUACAUAAAUAAAAGUUAGACAUGCACUGUCGUUGACUCCACGAUUCCUUGUGAUCAGUAUCGUCCCUGUUUUCUACAUGAAGAGCCUGAAGCUGCGUGGAACAUGGUCACUAACCCAGAGUAAGGCAGCUUUCAAGUUGUGAUGUGUGAAUUUGUUUUCUCUGAAGGAGCAUACAGGAACCGGAGCUGGCUGGGAAUCUGGGCUGCACCUCGGUUACCCAGCAUAAACUCACAGACUCUGAGGGCUGGACCUGAAUCGGUCAUCUAUUCUAGUCCCUGUUUCAGUUUUUAAGUCUUUGCUGCUUCCCCCACAGUGGUCACCUGGCCCAAGUUUGACGUUUCUCAGAUGGGAGACCCACUACUUUUGCGGAGCCCAGAGCUGGGGAAAGU